GCCUUCGUGGUGUAGUGGUCUGCAUGCCAGGUUGUGAUCCUGGAGGUACCGGUUCGAUCCCGGUCGGGGGCC
rnacentral:tRNA from 1 species